GACGAACGCUGGCGGCGUGCUUAACACAUGCAAGUCGAACGGAAAGGCCCUGCUUGCAGGGUACUCGAGUGGCGAACGGGUGAGUAACACGUGGGUGAUCUGCCCUGCACUUCGGGAUAAGCCUGGGAAACUGGGUCUAAUACCGGAUAGGAGCCAUUUUUAGUGUGAUGGUUGGAAAGUUUUUUCGGUGUAGGAUGAGCUCGCGGCCUAUCAGCUUGUUGGUGGGGUAAUGGCCUACCAAGGCGGCGACGGGUAGCCGGCCUGAGAGGGUGGACGGCCACAUUGGGACUGAGAUACGGCCCAGACUCCGACGGGAGGCAGCAGUGGGGAAUAUUGCACAAUGGGCGCCAGCCUGAUGCAGCGACGCCGCGUGGGGGAUGACGGCCUUCGGGUUGUAAACUCCUUUCGCUAGGGACGAAGCUUUUUGUGACGGUACCUAGAUAAGAAGCACCGGCUAACUACGUG
rnacentral:rRNA from 1 species